GAUGAAGAACGUAGCAAAAUGCGAUACUUGGUGUGAAUUGCAGAAUCCCGUGAACCAUCGAGUUUUUGAACGCAAGUUGCGCCCGAAGCCUUUUGGCCGAGGGCACGUCUGCCUGGGCGUCACGCAUCGCGUCGCCCCCCACAACUCUCCGUAAAGGGAACUUGUGUUUUGGGGGCGGAUAUUGGUCUCCCGUGCUCAUGGCGUGGUUGGCCGAAAUAGGAGUCCCUCCGGUGGACGCACGAACUAGUGGUGGUCGUAAAAACCCUCGUCUUUUGUUUCGUGCCGUUAGUCGCGAGGGAAACUCUUUAAAAACCCAAAUGUGUCGUCUCUUGACGGCGCUUCGACCGCGACCCCAGGUCAGGCGGGACUACCCGCUGAGUUUAAGCAUAUCAAAAGCGGAGGA
rnacentral:misc_RNA from 1 species